UGGAGUCUAGGCAAGUUGGUAAGGCGCCCGUUUUUGGUACGGGGAU
rnacentral:tRNA from 1 species